GUACGGAACAUGCAAAAGAUGGUGGGGUGAUCCCGGUUACCGGGUUCCCACGGUUCAACGACAUGGCAAACGAGGAGGAAUGUGCAAUGACAACUCAGACACGGUGCACACACGAGCAUCUCAUACAACACACAUGCAUUCGUUCACGGGCGUUGUCUCGGGAUUAUACCUUCGUAGCGUGCAUUCGGGACGGUUCGGUUUCGAUGGGAUGUAGUUGUUCACGGGUCAUCAUGGGAUGUAGUCGUACACGAUGAUGGUAGUGGAAGUAGUGGUUCAUGUUUCGUAGUCGUACACAAUCCGUAGAUGUUCGGGGUCGUCACCGUUUGUUGUCGAUGUAGUUGAACUUGACGAAACCGAACCCUUUGGGGUCGGUCUUGGCGAGGGAUGGUCGUAGUGGUACUUAUCGGUCUCGGUCACAUCAACAAAACAUAGUCAAACUUGAGGUGGUCUUGGCAAUCCCAAAAACGCUCAUGUUCGAGGAGGUCUCGGUCUUGGUGUUCGCCGGUCGUGGUACUUGGCAAAAGGAAUCCACAGAGGCGGUCUUGCAUCCCUGGAUUUGAUGGUCUUGGCAACGACAAAAGGGGCAGCGGGGCAGCAACACGAAGCAAGCUUGGCGAGGGACUACAAGUGAGAGGCCAUGGCAGCGGCAAGGUUUGGCCGGGAAGGCCGAAGCAGGUAACAACAACACGUAGACGAGACGGGUAACAGGGAGCUCGAGGUCGUUUGCGCCCAUGGCGAAGUGCUGGAGGCCGGACGAAGGAGGAACGAAGGCAGAGAGAAGAAGACAUGACAGUGCUCGAGGAAGGAAGUCGAAGGACGAGGCAGAUGAGACGUGGCGGUGGAGGGAGACUCACCUGGUGGUGGCGCUCUGCAGCAGAAGAAGUAGAGGGGGGUGUGGUGGAGGUGUCGUGGCUGCAGUUGCAUGCUCGGGCAACCACGACGAGCGAGCGAGUGAAGCAGGGAAGUAGGAGGCGGGGCCGAGCAGAGGCUCGCCGGACAGCAGGGCUCGCCGGCGGGCAGAGGAGAUCGUGCGUGAGGCGAGCACUCCUCUCUGUCUCUCUUCCUGGCGGCACAAGGAGGGAGGAGAGGAUCG
rnacentral:rRNA from 1 species